rnacentral:rRNA from 1 species
AUUGAACGCUGGCGGCAUGCCUUACACAUGCAAGUCGAACGGCAGCACGGGAGCAAUCCCGGUGGCGAGUGGCGAACGGGUGAGUAAAGUAUCGGAACGUGCCCAGUCGUGGGGGAUAACGUAGCGAAAGUUACGCUAAUACCGCAUACGAUCUAUGGAUGAAAGCGGGGCAUGGCAAGACCUCGCGCGAUUGGAGCGGCCGAUAUCAGAUUAGGUAGUUGGUGGGGUAAAGGCUCACCAAGCCGACGAUCUGUAGCUGGUCUGAGAGGACGACCAGCCACACUGGGACUGAGACACGGCCCAGACUCCUACGGGAGGCAGCAGUGGGGAAUUUUGGACAAUGGGCGAAAGCCUGAUCCAGCCAUGCCGCGUGCAGGAUGAAGGCCUUCGGGUUGUAAACUGCUUUUGUACGGAACGAAAAGGUUUGGCCUAAUAAGCUGAGCUCAUGACGGUACCGUAAGAAUAAGCACCGGCUAACUACGUGCCAGCCGCCGCCGUAA